rnacentral:rRNA from 1 species
GAUGAACGCUGGCGGCGUGCCUAAUACAUGCAAGUCGAGCGAACGGACGAGAAGCUUGCUUCUCUGAUGUUAGCGGCGGACGGGUGAGUAACACGUGGAUAACCUACCUAUAAGACUGGGAUAACUUCGGGAAACCGUAGCUAAUACCGGAUAAUAUUUUGAACCUCAUGGUUCAAAAGUGAAAGACGGUCUUGCUGUCCCUUAUAGAUGGAUCCGCGCUGCAUUAGCUAGUUGGUAAGGUAACGGCUUACCAAGGCAACGAUGCAUAGCCGGCCUGAGAGGGUGAUCGGCCACACUGGAACUGAGACACGGUCCAGACUCCUACGGGAGGCAGCAGUAGGGAAUCUUCCGCAAUGGGCGAAAGCCUGACGGAGCAACGCCGCGUGAGUGAUGAAGGUCUUCGGAUCGUAAAACUCUGUUAUUAGGGAAGAACAUAUGUGUAAGUAACUGUGCACAUCUUGACGGUACCUAAUCAGAAAGCCACGGCUAACUACGUG